rnacentral:rRNA from 1 species
UACGGAGGGGGCAAGCGUUAUCCGGAUUCACUGGGUUUAAAGGGUGCGUAGGAGGGCGGAUAAGUCAGUGGUGAAAUCUUCGAGCUUAACUCGGAAACUGCCGUUGAUACUAUUUGUCUUGAAUAUCGUGGAGGUGAGCGGAAUAUGUCAUGUAGCGGUGAAAUGCUUAGAUAUGACAUAGAACACCAAUUGCGAAGGCAGCUCGCUACACGAAUAUUGACUCUGAGGCACGAAAGCGUGGGGAUCAAACAGG